rnacentral:lncRNA from 7 species
UUUCAUAGUACUCUGCAUAUGAGGUUUUUGAUAUUAUUUCAUUUUUUUUCACCUGGAGAAGCUGAGGAACAGAAAUGACCAAAGUUUGCUCCCUUGAGGAGAUGAGAGAGUGAGCCGUAAACCAAAUGCAAGCCCAUCUGUGGUAAGCCAAGACUCAUACACAUUCGUAAUCAUGUUAGGGGAGUGUCACUUGGUGGUAGCAAAAUCUGUUAGUAUUCCUAAAAUUGUAACUGCAAAGAAGGCCUGGGAAAAACCUCCAAGACUUUUGUAUACAUCACAGUAAACAGGCAAAGCACAAACUGAAGAUCUUCUCGUUUUGGAGCUGUGAAUCUUCCGUCUUCUUGUGUUUGCCUUCAGUUCCUUUGUGUGAGUCUUGUUUGGGUGAUGUUCAGAAUAGAAAAUAAGUCAUGUUAAAGUGCAAUUAUCUUGCUAAAACUGGGGGCUUUGAAUUCACUGCAGUGCAGAAUCAAACAGCAAAAUGACUGGAACAUGAUGUAUGAGCAAUAAAAGAGAUACUUGACAUUUACAAAUACGGAUUUCUACAAUAAGAAAAAGGAAAUUGAGAUCUUGGUCACAAAAUGAGCGUAUCUCAGAGUAUCUCUCAUUUUGAGGGAAGUUCUGCUUGUCUCUUUGGUAUCAGCUAUUGCUUAUUCUUGUAACCAAAUAGCACUGUGUUCACAUAAAAGCUGUGGGAAAUUAACUGGGAGGGAACAUUAUUCCAAGUGCAAUAUAAUUCUAUGUGUUUCAUAAUCUGAAACAAUUUGAGACUCACAGUCUAUAUGUCUUUAUUUCUUUCUCAGACUAUAGUUCUACUCCAUAACAGAGAAAUACCUAGGAAUUCCUUUGUGUAGUGGUAUUUUGUCCAUUUAUACAGUGAUAUUUUUGUUGAUUUAAUCACAUAGGUUGCUGUUUUUAUUUCCAAUUUCUCAUCUGCUUUCCCACAUAUACUAUAAUGCCUUUCAUUAUAACCCCUAAGUCAGCUUUGAAUACGUUCAGUUUUUUAAUUUUUCAAAUUUGACAUAUUGUCUAAUAGCAAAUUUGUUUUAGUCCUAAUCUGCAUAAUGAAGCAGUCAACACAAUAACAGGUUUGGUAAUUCUUCAGUAGCGUACAGCCCCAAAUGGAGUACUUUUUUAAUAAUUUGUUAAUGUCAUGUGGGUUUCUUUUUAAGGUAUAUAAGUAAGAUGCUUCCAUUCAAAAUGCAGUCAACAAUAGCUGCUGUAUUCUAUAAACUAGUUUAUCUGCAUAGAAAUGUAGUAUUGAUCAAGGAUUGUUGUGUCUUUGGAAAAUAUGAGCAAGAUGAGAAGAUUUGCUUUGGAGUUGGAUACAUGUUCCAGUGGCCUUAAGCAUAAGUAAUUUUAUUUCCGUUACAUUAAAAACUAAAUGGAAACAAGGGCCUGUAAGAGAACAUAUCCUCGGUCCAUCAUAAUCAUUCAGACCAUGCUUUUGUUCUGUGGGUAAACAUUGUUCAUUAAUUCAGAAAACUGCCUGUACUGUCCUGAGAAAGCCUGUCUCAUUUGAUAAUGGGCUCUGAAUCCAGUGGAUUAUUGCAGGGAUUUUAUCUUGCAGUAAUCUCCAGGGAGAAAUGUACAAACAGCUGGGAGAGCAAGCAGGAGCUGCAUUGUGCAGUGGGAGCUCUUUGGAGCAGAAUUUUGGGGUGCUGGAGUGGAUCUCAGUAGCAACAUGAAUCUUUUCUGUUUCUCUCUGGAGGGUUCAAUGGACAGCUUGUAUGAGCCUGUCCCCGAACGUCAAGAACCCAAGGAUACAACCAGUACUUUCAGCCAGCCCAGCACUCCAGUGAGCACACGAGCAAACUGUGGACUGCCUGAUAGGUCUAUGUCUUUGGAAUUUCCUGAUUUUGAGAACACCGUGACGAAAAAAAGAAAGUAAGUUGAGACUAAUUCGGGGUCUACACAGUGUCACUAUAUUUAUCUGUUCCUUUCACCCUUGUUUUGUUAAUGCAUUUGCCAAUGUUACAUUAAUUUUCAUAGAGUACAUGUAUUAAUAUUGCAUUUGGAAAGCAAGUAACAAGCUUGUAAUGUAUUAGUAAAGCUCUUUUGAUGUGUUUUUUUCAUCUACAUAAAUCUUUCUUACAAAAUAUUGGGACCGGGGUAGCUAAAAUAAAAUGCAGUUAAUCUGAGCUUGUUUUAACCAUAUGUCCACUUUUCUGAAAGAUUGAAGUAGUAACCUAUUUUAUAGAAUGUUUGUACCAUUGACCUGAUAAUCUUCUGAAGAGUUGUUUGUGUUUUUUAAUCC